AGUGAACGCUGGCGGUAGGCCUAACACAUGCAAGUCGAACGGCAGCACAGUAAGAGCUUGCUCUUACGGGUGGCGAGUGGCGGACGGGUGAGGAAUACAUCGGAAUCUACUUUUUCGUGGGGGAUAACGUAGGGAAACUUACGCUAAUACCGCAUACGACCUACGGGUGAAAGCAGGGGAUCUUCGGACCUUGCGCGAUUGAAUGAGCCGAUGUCGGAUUAGCUAGUUGGCGGGGUAAAGGCCCACCAAGGCGACGAUCCGUAGCUGGUCUGAGAGGAUGAUCAGCCACACUGGCACUGAGACACGGUCCAGCCUCCUACGGGAGGCAGCAGUGGGGAAUAUUGGACAAUGGGCGCAAGCCUGAUCCAGCCAUACCGCGUGGGUGAAGAAGGCCUUCGGGUUUUAAAGCCCUUUUGUUGGGAAAGAAAAGCAGCAGGUUAAUACCCCGCUGUUCUGACGGUACCCAAAGAAUAAGCACCGGCUAACUUCGUG
rnacentral:rRNA from 1 species